UCGUAGGAGCCAUGGAUCGUCUCUGGUUUCAACAGAUUAUUCUUGUCCCAGACCCCUUUUCACCAUAUUUCCCCCUCGAACCAAAGCAGCCCCUCUCAGAAUCUACCACUACAAGCUCAUCAUCUUCAAGCCUCUCUUUAUCAUCUGUUGCAGACCAAGAAAAACCAGCGCUGGUAAACAGUAAUAAUAAUAAUAAUAAUAAAAGAAUGAAAAAGAACUACGCUCAUCAAGUUCAACACUCUUGAAAUAUGUUUCUUAUUUUUUGUUUCAUUUUUGCUGUUGUUUUUCAUGGUGAUCAAAUUCUUAGGAUGAUCCUAAAAAAGAGGAAAAACAAUUGAAGAAAAGAUCAAGAAGAGGGAACCUUAGUCGUUCACAUUCUCCAUCUCAAUCGACUCAUAAACAUCAGAGGAUUAACCAUCAAUGCAAACUGCAAAAAUCCACGAGUUGUAGGAGCUUGAAAGACUUGGAACUGGAAGAAGUAAAAGGGUUCAUGGAUCUUGGA
rnacentral:lncRNA from 1 species